rnacentral:tRNA from 1 species
CCUGGUGGCUCAGAGGUGAAGCCUCUGCCUGCAACGCAGGAGACCCGGGUUCGAUCCCUGGGUCAGGA